UUGCCUCCGGGGCGACCCUGCCUCCGGGCGGGGGCCCCGGGUGGACAUUUCAAACUCUUGCGUAACUUUGCAGUCUGAGUAAAUUUAAUUAAUAAAUUAAAACUUUCAACAACGGAUCUCUUGGUUCUGGCAUCGAUGAAGAACGCAGCGAAAUGCGAUAAGUAAUGUGAAUUGCAGAAUUCAGUGAAUCAUCGAAUCUUUGAACGCACAUUGCGCCCCCUGGUAUUCCGGGGGGCAUGCCUGUUCGAGCGUCAUUUCACCACUCAAGCCUCGCUUGGUAUUGGGCGACGCGGUCCGCCGCGCGCCUCAAAUCGACCGGCUGGGUCUUUCGUCCCCUCAGCGUUGUGGAAACUAUUCGCUAAAGGGUGCCGCGGGAGGCCACGCCGUAAAACAACCCCAUUUCUAAGGUUGACCUCGGAUCAGGUAGGGAUACCCGCUGAACUUAAGCAUAUCAAUAAGCGGAGGAAAAGAAACCAACAG
rnacentral:rRNA from 1 species